rnacentral:lncRNA from 1 species
GAAGAUGCAUCAGUUCCCAGGUCUUUUGACUAUAUAGAUAGUGGAUUUUCAGUUUCUCAAAGCUUUGUCAAAACAGGUGUGUAAUAGAAGUGCGUUAUAGAAGUUCUCAACUAUGAUAAUUCUUUCACAAGUGUGUUCUGCUGCCAGUCAGAUGCUCGUGUUCUUUGAUGAUCCGGAUGUCUUUUAUGGUGUUAUGGGCAUCAGAUAAAGUCAAAAGUCAAUUCUGGAUCUAGCUACUUGAUCUUCUCUGCUGUUUUCCCAUGGUUAUCAUGCCAACUUUGUUUUGUUUAGUGGUGAAUAAAUGUGUGGACCACACGGUGAUAGUAAUAGAGGAUUAGUUUUGGGAACUUCAAUGGCUUGUAUCCGGUAUUCAUUCCUGUGAACCUUGUUUCUUGGUCCUUUUGGUGCUUGCAACUCCAAGAUGGAUAUUGCUAGGCUUCGACCAAAAUUGGGGUUUUCGAUCUUGUCUCUUGCAUAUCUAGUGAUUUCUUAGGUGAUAUGGAUUUUGUCAGCUUUGUACUUAACUGGUCCCUUCUUCUUGUUCUUGUAGUUGGGUCUGACAAAGCAAUGAAUUAUUCUUUUGAUGGAGGGACAUUGUUU